GACGGGGGCCCGCACAAGCAGCGGAGCAUGUGGCUUAAUUCGAAGCAACGCGAAGAACCUUACCUGGGCUUGACUUGGAAGUGAAGCUUGGGAAACCAAGUGGCCGAAAGGAGCUUCCACAGGUGGUGCAUGGCUGUCGUCAGCUCGUGCCGUGAGGUGUCAGGUUAAGUCCUGCAACGAGCGCAACCCCCACUGUGUGUUGCCAUCAUUUAGUUGGGCACCCACACAGGACCGCCGGCGCCAAGCCGGAGGAAGGCGGGGAUGACGUCAAGUCAUCAUGCCCCUUACGCUCAGGGCUGCACACGUGCUACAAUGGCCGGAACAAAGGGUUGCCACCCCGUGAGGGGGAGCGGAUCCCAAAAACCGGCCCCAGUUCGGACUGUAGGCUGCAACCCGCCUACACGAAGUCGGAGUUGCUAGUAAUCGCGGAUCAGCACGCCGCGGUGAAUGCGUUCCCGGGCCUUGUACACACCGCCCGUCACACCACCCGAGUCGUCUGCACCCGAAGUCGCUGGCUGAACCAUCUGGACAGAGGCGCCGAAGGUGUGGGGGGCGAGGGGGGUGAAGUCGUAACAAGGUAGCCGUACGGAAA
rnacentral:rRNA from 1 species